UACGUAGGUGGCAAGCGUUGUCCGGAUUUAUUGGGUUUAAAGGGUGCGUAGGCGGCUUUGUAAGUCAGUGGUGAAAUAUGGCAGCUUAACUGUCAAGGUGCCCAUUGAUACUGCGGAGCUUGAGUACAGAUGAGGUAGGCGGAAUUGACGGUGUAGCGGUGAAAUGCUUAGAUAUCGUCAAGAACACCUAUAGCGAAGGCAGCUUACUAGGCUGUAACUGACGCUGAGGCACGAAAGUGUGGGGAUCAAACAGG
rnacentral:rRNA from 1 species